AGCGAACGCUGGCGGCAGGCUUAACACAUGCAAGUCGAACGGGCGUGGCAAUACGUCAGUGGCAGACGGGUGAGUAACACGUGGGAACGUACCUCUUGGUUCGGAACAACACAGGGAAACUUGUGCUAAUACCGGAUAAGCCCUUACGGGGAAAGAUUUAUCGCCGAGAGAUCGGCCCGCGUCUGAUUAGCUAGUUGGUAGGGUAAUGGCCUACCAAGGCGACGAUCAGUAGCUGGUCUGAGAGGAUGAUCAGCCACAUUGGGACUGAGACACGGCCCAAACUCCUACGGGAGGCAGCAGUGGGGAAUAUUGGACAAUGGGGGCAACCCUGAUCCAGCCAUGCCGCGAGUGAUGAAGGCCCUAGGGUUGUAAAGCUCUUUUGUGCGGGAAGAUAAUGACGGUACCGUAAGAAUAAGCCCCGGCUAACUUCGUGCCAGCCGCCGCAGUAA
rnacentral:rRNA from 1 species